rnacentral:rRNA from 1 species
UACGAAGGGGGCUAGCGUUACUCGGAAUGACUGGGCGUAAAGGGCGCGUAGGCGGUUUGGUUUGUUAGGCGUGAAAUUCCUGGGCUUAACCUGGGGUCUGCGUUUAAUACGGCCAGGCUUGAGUGUGAAAGAGGGUCGUGGAAUUCCCAGUGUAGAGGUGAAAUUCGUAGAUAUUGGGAAGAACACCGGUGGCGAAGGCGGCGACCUGGUUCAUUACUGACGCUGAGGCGCGAAAGCGUGGGGAGCAAACAGGAUUAGAUACCCUGGUAGUCCACGCCGUAAACGAUGUGUGCUGGAUGUUGGGCAACCUAGUUGCUCAGUGUCGUAGCUAACGCGAUAAGCACACCGCCUGGGGAGUACGGCCGCAAGGUUG